rnacentral:rRNA from 1 species
AAGGAGCUUAUACGGCGAGUGAGCGGCAAGAGCUCAAAUUUGAAAUCUAGCACUUUCAGUGUUCGAGUNGUAAUUUGAAGAAGGUAUCUUUGGAGUUGGCCCCUGNUCUAUGUUCCUUGGAACAGGACGUCACAGAGGGUGAGAAUCCCGUGCGAUGGGGAGACCAAUUCUUUGUAAAGUUCCUUCGAAGAGUCGAGUUGUUUGGGAAUGCAGCUCUAAGUGGGUGGUAAAUUCCAUCUAAAGCUAAAUAUUGGCGAGAGACCGAUAGCGAACAAGUACAGUGAUGGAAAGAUGAAAAGAACUUUGAAAAGAGAGUGAAAAAGUACGUGAAAUUGUUGAAAGGGAAGGGCUUUUGAUCAGACUUGGUGUUUAACGAUCUCUUCUCCUUGUGGGAGGGGCUCUUGUUUUAUACUGGGCCAGCAUCGGUUUGGAUGGCAGGAUAAUGACAUUGGAACGUGGCUUCAUUCGUGAAGUGUUAUAGCCUUUGUUGAUACUGCCUAUCUAGACCGAGGACUGCGUCUUUGACUAGGAUGCUGGCGUAAUGAUUAAAAGCCGCCCGUCUUGAANCACGGACCA